GACGAACGCUGGCGGCGUGCUUAACACAUGCAAGUCGUACGGUAAGGCCCUUUCGGGGGUACACGAGUGGCGAACGGGUGCGUAACACGUGAGUAACCUGCCCACAACUUUGGGAUAACGCUAGGAAACUGGUGCUACUACUGGAUAUGUGCUCCUGCUGCAUGGUGGGGGUUGGAAAGCUCCGGCGGUUGUGGAUGGACUCGCGGCCUAUCAGCUUGUUGGUGGGGUAGUGGCCUACCAAGGCGGCGACGGGUAGCCGGCCUGAGAGAGUGACCGGCCACAUUGGGACUGAGGUACGGCCGAGACUCGUACGGGAGGAAGAAGGGGGGAAGAUUGAACAAGGGGCGCAAGCCGGAUGCAGAAAGGCCGCGUGCGGGAUGACGGCCUUCGGGUUGUAGACCGCUUUCAGCAGGGAAGAAGCUUUUUGUGACGGUACCUGCAGAAGAAGCACCGGCUAACUACGUG
rnacentral:rRNA from 1 species